rnacentral:rRNA from 1 species
UACGAAGGGGGCGAGCGUUAAUCGGAAUUACUGGGCGUAAAGCGUGCGUAGGCGGUGAGUUAAGUCUGUUGUGAAAUCCCCGGGCUCAACCUGGGAAUGGCAAUGGAUACUGGCUCGCUAGAGUGUGAUAGAGGAUGGUGGAAUUCCCGGUGUAGCGGUGAAAUGCGUAGAGAUCGGGAGGAACAUCAGUGGCGAAGGCGGCCAUCUGGAUCAACACUGACGCUGAGGCACGAAAGCGUGGGGAGCAAACAGG